UUGCUUUGGCAGCACAUAUACUAAAAUUGGAACGAUACAGAGAUUAGCACGGCCCUUGCGCAAGGGUGACACGCAAAUUCGUGAAGCUUCCAUAUUUAAA
ensembl:snRNA U6 U6 spliceosomal RNA